rnacentral:lncRNA from 1 species
UCCCAUCUCAAAUUGGCAAGGACCCGAUCUAGCUUCUUCAUAAUAGGAGCCUUGUCCGCCGAUUAGACCACGUGAAGAGACAGCCAUUCUGUCGUAAAUCACUUAGGCCAGAUUGAAAUAAAUAAGUAGCAAGGUCAUUAUGCCAAUAAGGCCAACUAUGAGAGCCCCCAACCAUCUCCUCUUGUGACUUUAUAUCAUUGAAGUCCCCCAUGAGCACCCAUGGAGAAGAUUCCCAUCCCACAUUGCGAGAAACUAAAUCAGCCUACAAUUCACUCCGCUUAAUAGGGCAAUUAUCACCAUACACAAUCGAGAUAAUGAAAGAGGAAUUCUUAGCAAGAUUCCUAACAUGCACAUGCAUCACUUGGUCGGAUGAAUUUAUAAAACCACAUCCACCUCCUGAGGAUUCCAACCAAUCCAAAUCCGUCCAUGAGAAGAAGCAUUAUAGUUGCACAGUAAAUCCCAAUUUCGAAAGAUGGUGUUCGCCACCUUUUCUUUAUUUCUCUCUUUAACUUUAGUUUUGACCAAACCACAAAGUGACAAUCUUUCCUUUCAAAAUAAGUUGUUGCACUUCUGAAUGCUUGAAAGGGUCA